UAGACAAAUAAAUAUCUAAAUAAAAUCUGAACAAUAUUAUUAAAUAAAAAAUAUCUAAAAUAAGUUAAAAAUAAUAUUUAUCUAGCUUCCCAAAUCACCCAUUAUCCCACAUUAAUCAGUACUCCGUCACAAUCAUCUGGUUAUUUCUAAUUUUAUAGAAGUUGUUUGACUGUUUCCCCUUCAUGCUUUCGUCUCGCAUGGCAUGGAAUUUUAGUCAACAAGGGCAUCGUUGUAUUUUUAGGAGGCUGUGAAACUGCUGUAAGGACCUUGUGUAGUACUGAAAGAGGUAAGCAUAUGGUAUUGAAAACUGCAUAAUGAACCGGGUAAAUUUUGAUAAAUUUAAGAUAUGGGUACAGCGAGGUAUAUUCCAUAACAAUACCUUUUUUUUUUUUUAAUAAUUUUAGAAAACUAAUGCAUUUUCUUACCAAAAGGCACUUUGAUAUGGACCUGAUAAGGGUAUACCUACAGCAAGCGAUAUGCUGGCAGGCUGGGAUGUUUCAUAAUGUCUCCUGUGGCUGUCAUAUUGAAAAUUUGAUGCCAGACAGUUGUUUUCUAGUCUUAUUAGUAUCAUUUUCAAUUGAAUUUAUAGGAGCAUUAUUGGUGGCUCUAAAGCUGAUGUAAUUUUUUUCCCUGUUCUCUCCAUUUCGUUUCCAGAUACAGGAGAACAUUAAUCUAUUCUGCCAAACAAGAAAUAACAUUCUUAAAAUUAUGAACGACUUGAAUGACUUGCCAGAGGUGAUGAAGCAAAUGCCACCUCUACCCAUAAAGGUGAAUGAAGAGUUAGCCAACUCCAUUCUUCCAAGAACAAACCUCCCGACGCAAUCAUGAUGCGCAACGUUCAUUCAUCUCGUUCCGGCUUGUCUUUCCAUAUUUUCUGCCUCCAGGGGCACACCAAUAAUAUUCCCACCCUCGUGUGAGGAGUAAAGUGUUAAUCUAUCUAGUUGACCCGACUUUUAUUUAUUUAUUUUUUUUUCAAAGAAACAGGGAAACGGGAAGAAGAAACAAUCAAAUAAGUGUUGAGAAUCAUCAAGUUGAAUUAGCGUUCGUUAUUGUUGUUGUUAUUAUUAUUGGUUUUCCUGUUUUUGGUUCUUUUAGUGGGCUCCAUCUUUAUUGUACGAGUAGGGAGUAUUCGUCAUGGUAAUCGUCAGUUGAAUUUAGGAAAUAAGAUUUAUUAAGGGCACUGAGUUUCACUGA